GGCUGGUGUAUCUAGAGGUAGAAACAGUCUGGCUGGUGUAUCUAGAGAUAGAAACAGUCUGGCUGGUGUAUCUAGAGAUAGAAACAGUCUGGCUGGUGUAUCUAGAGGUAGAAACAGUCCGUCUGGUGUAUCUAGAGGUAGAAACAGUCCGUCUGGUGUAUCUAGAGGUAGAAACAGUCUGGCUGAUGUAUCUAGAGGUAGAAACAGUCUGGCUGGUGUAUCUAGAGAUAGAAACAGUCUGGCUGGUGUAUCUAGAGGUAGAAACAGUCUGGCUGGUGUAUCUAGAGAUAGAAACAGUCUGGCUGGUGUAUCUAGAGGUAGAAACAGUCCGUCUGGUGUAUCUAGAGGUAGAAACAGUCUGGCUG
ensembl:lncRNA